rnacentral:lncRNA from 1 species
AUCCUGGCGGAUACUGUCUUCAAUUGAACAGAAGGAGGAGGCCAAAGGUAAUGAACAAAAUGUGAAGAGGAUAAAGGAUUAUAGGCAAAGGGUUGAAGAUGAGCUCUCAAAAAUAUGCAAUGACAUACUCUCAGUCAUUGACAAGCACCUCAUUCCAUCUUCCUCCACCGGGGAAUCAACUGUUUUCUACUAUAAGAUGUGAGGAUCAUCUUACUUUCGUUUUUGUUUUAUGGGGCGGUUUGAGUGUGAAUAUUUCCUUAUUUGUUGCUUUUUGUGUAACAGGAAAGGAGAUUAUUUUCGUUAUUUGGCAGAAUUUAAGGCAGGAGAUGAUCGUAAAGAAGCUGCUGAUCAGUCACUUAAGGCUUAUGAGGUGCGUUGAAUUCCCUCCAAAUCCUGCUUUUUUUUUUUUUGCUCUUCUUUUACCUUUAAUCAGCCCUCCUCUUAUCCUAUUUUGAUUUUUAUUGUAGGCUGCCACUUCCACUGCAAGCUCAGAUUUGCCUCCAACUCACCCAAUUAGACUUGGCCUGGCUUUGAACUUCUCAGUUUUCUACUAUGAGAUAUUAAAUUCUCCCGAGAGGUUAGAAAUUGUAGGAAUCUUUCUACCCCCUGUUUAUACACAAUCAUGUAACCUACUUCUAAAUUUUCUUUCCAUUGGGGAGAAUGAUCCCAAAGCUAAUUUUUCUUUUCAUUUUGUGGUAGUUUCAGAAAUACUUUCCUUGGUAACCAUUGUUGUUGUUUACUUAUUUUAAUAAUUAUAGAUGGCUAUUAUAUGAGUUCCACUUUAGCAGCUAG